rnacentral:snoRNA from 1 species
GAAAUCAUGCUUCACAGGAUCUUUUCUGUAGUAUGAUUUUCUGCGUGUUGACGCAAAGUCAACCACACCUAAUCUGUGAGAAUUAGAUGCAGUUCCACAGCUAAUAGUGAAGAGACGCUUCAUCCUCCUUCUUGAGGUUGAAUGCUUGAAGACAGUGUGGAGGGCAUUUUGUUCUCUUAUAGAGGGGAGAUGUUGUAAACCGU